AUUUGAAUGAAGUUUUCGGAUGGAUUUUAAAUUGACUGAGUGGCGGACGGGUGAGUAACGCGUGGGUAACCUGCCCCAUACAGGGGGAUAACAGUUAGAAAUGACUGCUAAUACCGCAUAAGACCACAGCGCCGCAUGGUGCAGGGGUAAAAACUCCGGUGGUAUGAGAUGGGGAUGCGUUCCAUUAGUUUGUUGGCGGGGUAACGGCGCACCAAGCCGACGAUCAGUAGCCGACCUGAGAGGGUGACCGGCCACAUUGGGACUGAGACACGGCCCAAACUCC
rnacentral:rRNA from 1 species